CGCCUCUCUCAUGAUGAUUCCUGCUCAACAACAAAUUAUCCUCAUUGGAAAAAUUCAGUCACAAACUUCGUUGCGAGCGAAGGAAAGAAGAGAUUUUGACUGCACCAAGUGUAAAUGGACAACAUUACUUCCUCGGUAAUUUUGGGUGAUGUAGCUGAAAAAAUGCUCGACAUGACAACAAAAGAUAUAUUUGACACAGCAUGUGACAGAAAAGGAACAGAUCUUUGCACCAAAUAUUGGCGAGAGAAGCAAAAAGUAAGCCAAGGCUCUAGGA